AGAUGGCGACCGGCGCACGGGUGAGUAACACGUAUCCAACCUGCCGAUAACUCGGGGAUAGCCUUUCGAAAGAAAGAUUAAUACCCGAUGGCAUAAUAGAACCGCAUGGUUUGAUUAUUAAAGAAUUUCGGUUAUCGAUGGGGAUGCGUUCCAUUAGGCAGUUGGUGGGGUAACGACCCACCAAACCUUCGAUGGAUAGGGGUUCUGAGAGGAAGGUCCCCCACAUUGGAACUGAGACACGGUCCAA
rnacentral:rRNA from 1 species